rnacentral:rRNA from 1 species
UACAGAGGUCUCGAGCGUUUGUUCGGAUUCAUUGGGCGUAAAGGGCGCGUAGGCGGCGGGGUAAGUCUGGUGUGAAAUCUCGGAGCUCAACUCCGAAAUUGCACUGGAUACUGCUCUGCUAGAGGGCUGGAGAGGAGAUCGGAAUUCACGGUGUAGCAGUGAAAUGCGUAGAUAUCGUGAGGAAGACCAGUGGCGAAGGCGGAUCUCUGGACAGCUCCUGACGCUGAGGCGCGAAGGCUAGGGGGAGCAAAACGGG